rnacentral:lncRNA from 1 species
AGUUAACAGAGAUAUGGCAUGAACAUGUAUUAGAAAAAUGAUUCACACACAAUAGAAAAAAUAAGUAAGACCAGGAUUGGGUGGCUUUGGAGAAUGUAAUUUCAGCUUGAAUAUGAAGAUGCUUGUAGAACAGUGUUCCUUCCUCUGAACAUGGCUACAGAAGAACAAAUCAGUUAGUCUGAAGAUGAAAACAAGAAGCUGAUGGUAGACACAUUCUGAACUGGCUAACACAACACUCUGAAACUGGAGGAUAUCAACUGAUAAGAUAUGAAGUUCUCCCUUAGUUUCAAAUACACUGGGUUCAUAAAUUAUUGACAUAAACAAUAGAUGUCCCAUCAAGCUACCAUGAAGAUAGCUAGGUCUGCACAACUCCUCAAGUGUCGACCCCUCCAAGCACAUCCUCCACCUGGAACU